GGUGACCUGCGGAAGGNCAUUACAUUCAUCAGAUUUAUCUGGUAACGGGGGGUUGGAAAAGCUACAAGCUGUCUUUUAGGCGACUUGUAGGUGAGUACUCCUCUGUCUGCAUCCCUGACUUUUGCGUACCCAAGUUUCCUCGGCAGGCCUGCCUGCCGAUUGGACAAUUCUAUAACCUUUUUAAUUUUUAAUCAGCGUCUGAAUAAUUAUAAUAAUUACAACUUUCAACAACGGAUCUCUUGGUUCUGGCAUCGAUGAAGAACGCAGCGAAAUGCGAUAAGUAGUGUGAAUUGCAGAAUUCAGUGAAUCAUCGAAUCUUUGAACGCACAUUGCGCCCCUUGGUAUUCCAUGGGGCAUGCCUGUUCGAGCGUCAUUUGUACUCUCAAGCUAUGCUUGGUGUUGGGUGCUGUCUUUAAUCAAGACUCGCCUUAAAAUCAUUGGCAGCCGGUAUAUUGGUUUAAAGCGCAGCACAUUUUGCGUCUCAAAUUUCUAUAUCAGCCCCCAUAAAAUCUUUUUAACACUUUGACCUCGGAUCAGGUAGGGAUACCCGCUGAACUUAAGCAUAUCAAUAAGCGGAGGAAAAGAAACCAACAGGGAUUGCCCUAGUAACGGCGAGUGAAGCGGCAACAGCUCAAAUUUGAAAUCUGGCUCUUUUAGGGUCCGAGUUGUAAUUUGCAGAGGGCGCUUUUGGCGUUGGCAGCGGUCCAAGUUCUUUGGAACAGGACGUCACAGAGGGUGAGAAUCCCGUACGUGGUCGCUAUCCUUC
rnacentral:rRNA from 1 species